GGGGCUAUAGCUCAGAUGGGAGAGCGCUUGCAUGGCAUGCAAGAGGUCAGCGGUUCAAUCCCGCUUAGCUCCACCA
rnacentral:tRNA from 2 species